GACGAACGCUGGCGGCGUGCUUAACACAUGCAAGUCGAACGGAAAGGCCCUGCUUUUGUGGGGUGCUCGAGUGGCGAACGGGUGAGUAACACGUGAGUAACCUGCCCUUGACUUUGGGGUAACUUCAGGAAACUGGGGCUAAUACCGGAUAGGAGCUCCUGCUGCAUGGUGGGGGUUGGAAAGUUUCGGCGGUUGGGGAUGGACUCGCGGCUUAUCAGCUUGUUGGUGGGGUAGUGGCUUACCAAGGCUUUGACGGGUAGCCGGCCUGUGAGGGUGACCGGCCACAUUGGUACUGAGAUACGGCCCAGACUCCUACGGGAGGCAGCAGUGGGGAAUAUUGCACAAUGGGCGGAAGCCUGAUGCAGCAACGCCGCGUGCGGGAUGACGGCCUUCGGGUUGUAAACCGCUUUCGCCUGUGACGAAGCGUGAGUGACGGUAAUGGGUAAAGAAGCACCGGCUAGCUACGUG
rnacentral:rRNA from 1 species